rnacentral:rRNA from 1 species
UAGGGAAUCUUCCACAAUGGACGCAAGUCUGAUGGAGCAACGCCGCGUGAGUGAAGAAGGUUUUCGGACCGUAAAGCUCUGUUGUUGGUGAAGAAGGAUAGAGGUAGUAACUGGCCUUUAUUUGACGGUAAUCAACCAGAAAGUCACGGCUAACUACGUGCCAGCAGCCGCGGUAAUACGUAGGUGGCAAGCGUUGUCCGGAUUUAUUGGGCGUAAAGCGAGCGCAGGCGGAAGAAUAAGUCUGAUGUGAAAGCCCUCGGCUUAACCGAGGAAUUGCAUCGGAAACUGUUUUUCUUGAGUGCAGAAGAGGAGAGUAGAACUCCAUGUGUAGCGGUGGAAUGCGUAGAUAUAUGGAAGAAUACCAGUGGCGAAGGCGGCUCUCUGGUCUGCAACCGACGCUGAGGCUCGAAAGCAUGGGUAGCGAACAGGAUUAGAUACCCUGGUAGUCCAUGCCGUAAACGAUGAGUGCUAAGUGUUGGGAGGCUUCCGCCUCUCAGUGCUGCAGCUAACGCAUUAAGCACUCCGCCUGGGGGGUACGACCGCAAG